UACGUAGGGUGCAAGCGUUGUCCGGAAUUAUUGGGCGUAAAGGGCUCGUAGGCGGUCCAUCGCGUCGGGAGUGAAAAGCUGGGGCUUAACCCCAGUCCUGCUUCCGAUACGGGUGGACUAGAGGUAGGUAGGGGAGAUCGGAAUUCCUGGUGUAGCGGUGAAAUGCGCAGAUAUCAGGAGGAACACCCGGGGCGAAGGCGGCCCUCUGGCUCGACCCUGACGCUGAGGCGCGAAAGCCAGGGGAGCAAACGGG
rnacentral:rRNA from 1 species